GGAGACCUACGGGGCGCAGCAGUGGGGAAUUUUGGACAAUGGGCGCAAGCCUGAUCCAGCUAUUCCGCGUGUGGGAUGAAGGCCCUCGGGUUGUAAACCACUUUUGUAGAGAACGAAAAGACACCUUCGAAUAAAGGGUGUUGCUGACGGUACUCUAAGAAUAAGCACCGGCUAACUACGUGCCAGCAGCCGCGGUAAUACGUAGGGUGCGAGCGUUAAUCGGAAUUACUGGGUGUAAAGGGUGCGCAGGCGGUUGAGUAAGACAGAUGUGAAAUCCCCGAGCUUAACUCGUG
rnacentral:rRNA from 1 species